GACGAACGCUGGCGGCGUGCCUAACACAUGCAAGUCGAACGGAACUGUUUUGAAAGAUUUCUUCGGAAUGAAUUUGAUUUAGUUUAGUGGCGGACGGGUGAGUAACGCGUGAGUAACAUGCCUUCAAGAGGGGAAUAACAUUCUGAAAAGAAUGCUAAUACCGCAUGACAUAUCGGAACCACAUGGUUUUGAUAUCAAAGAUUUUAUCGCUUGAAGAUGGACUCGCGUCCGAUUAGUUAGUUGGUGAGGUAACGGCUCACCAAGACCGCGAUCGGUAGCCGGACUGAGAGGUUGAACGGCCACAUUGGGACUGAGACACGGCCCAGACUCCUACGGGAGGCAGCAGUGGGGGAUAUUGCGCAAUGGGGGCAACCCUGACGCAGCAACGCCGCGUGAAGGAUGAAGGUUUUCGGAUUGUAAACUUCUUUUAUUAAGGACGAAAAAUGACGGUACUUAAUGAAUAAGCUCCGGCUAACUACGUG
rnacentral:rRNA from 1 species